GACGUCAUGAUCAGUGUCAUCGUUCUGCUGCUGCUGCUCUGCCUCUGGGAUGCGUCUCUCAGCGAAGACGUACACCAGGAUCCUCCAUGGAUGCUGAAAGUUCCUCAGAGUUCUGCAACAAUCAGCUGCAGCUAUUCAAUCAUCGGAUACAAUAACAUUCUGUGGUACAAGAACCCAACCAGUCACUCCGCCCUCAAGUUAAUUGGUCAUCUCUACUACGCCAGUGUAAUUCUCGAGGAUGAAUUCAAAGAUCGCUUCAACAUAAGUGGAGACGACACCAAGGAAUCUGAGCUCCGUGUGGAUAAACUGCAGCCAGAAGACAGCAGCGUGUAUUACUGUGCAGCUAGUCGGCACAGUGACUCAGUUUGUGUCUGUCUGCUACAAAAACCCUCUGUGAUAAUCCAGCACACAAACACACACAGCUGCAGCAGAGAGCACUGA